CGAUCAUAAAACUGCACUAAUAAGCUUCUAUAAAUUAAACAGAUUAAUAGUUCUCAAGCAUCAUUUUGUUUUCCAUCACAAACAAAUGUCCACUUCAAAGUGAUCCACUCCACUUCUGAAACAAAUUGCUUUUUAAUUGUGAAUAGUUUGCCAUUCAUUUCGUUGUAAAUAAUGGCAAAAAUUAGUGCCAAAGAGAUUUUUAAUUUUGUUAAACUUCUUCGAAUUGAUUUAUUCUUUUUUUUCGCUACUCUCAGUACUUCACUGCCAAAUCUAGCUCUUAAUCAACUAAUCCAGGAUAAAUUUUGCAUCAACAAAUAUCUACUCAAUAAGACUGAUUGUUUUAAUUUGGAAAAGUCUUCUGAUUUUGAAACAAUACAAAAUGAAGUUUUAAAAGAAACGACAUCACUCAAACUGUACAUAACUCUAAUGACCACAAUUCCGAGUAUUUUUUUAUCACUCAUCAUGGGUUAUUGGGUUGAUAAAUAUCCAAGUCAUUUGCGUUAUUUACUUGGUGUUGCUGCAAUGGCAAAUGUUUGUGCAAACAUUAUGGCCAUCUAUCAAUGUAUAUACUUUGAAAUGGAUCCAUACUUGUUGUUACUCACAUGUCUGGUACCCGUUUUAACUGGAAGUGGAACCUUAGUCUCGGUAGGAACCUACACUUAUGCCACGAAAAAAACUCCAGCAAAGUAUCGAUCCAUUAGAUUUACAGUAUUAGAGCUCUUUUUGUUUGCAACUAUACCGAUUGCUAACCUUGCAGGAGGUGGAAUCGUUGCAUCUAAACCUUGGUUUGCAAAUCAACUUCGGAAUUACAUCGGUGUUUAUAUUGUGUCUUCUGUGUGUGCAAUUUUUGCUGCUAUUUGGGUUGUGAUAUUUUUGUAUGACUCUGUCGACGAAACUAAAAGCAAUGAACCCGUUAAAGUUGAUGAAACUUCUAGCUUGAAUGCUAAAGUGAACAAAAAAAGCUUGAAACAGAUCAUUUACGAUGUAAUCAAGCCCAACAAUAUUUUAAUUGCAACUCGAUGUGUCUUUAAAAGGAGGCCAAAUAAUGCCCAUUGGUUUUUGAUAUCAAACAUAGUAGCUGGGUUUUUGGCAAACAUUGGAUAUCUGGCUGAACAAAACAUUGGCUAUCAAUUUUCUCAGCGAGUGUAUCAUUGGAGUGCUUCACAAAUCGGUCUUUUCAAUUCAGUCAUCAUUGUGUUUCCAGCUGCUGGAAUCAUUAUUGGUCCACCUUUGUUUAUUCACAAAAUGAAACUCCACGAAACUGCAGUAGCCAUUAUUGGCAUUAGUUCAUUGAUUGUUGCUUACCUUUUCAAAGGAUUCAUUCUCAGUCCAGUUGCAUUCUUUUUAGCUGUCUUUUGCUGUUUUGCUGGACUUAUCAAAUAUCGUUGAUCGUUCAAUAACUUCUCGUCUGAUUCAUGCCGAUGAGGUUGGCCAAGUUUACGCUUUCACAGCAGUAAUUGGAUCAUUUAAUCCAGUAAUAUCAUCACUUUUUUACACCGAAAUAUUUCAAGCAACAGUAGACUUCAAUCCAGGUCUUGUUUAUAUCUUUGGAGCCAUGUUAUUCAUCUAUCCUCUUCUUAAUGCGAUCUGGCUCAACAUAAACAAACAAAAAUGGGAUCUGGUACUGAUAGGCGAAAUGCAGAAUUCGGAUAAUGAAGUCACAAAUCGUUGAUAGUUUGUUAGCGAGUAUCAAUGCGAAGUAAUUGAAUCAUUGAAAAGACGCAAAUUGGAAUGUAAAAAACUCGUGCCAAAGUAAACAAAAUCGUUGCUUAAAGUAACCAUUAAAAAGUUGAGCAAAGUUACAGAUUGUUUUAUUUCACCUAAUGUUUAUAAUAGACGAUUGAUCUUGCCAUAGUCGAGCUGCUCAAGUUUCUUCCUAUUACUUGGCCCUACUCUCGAGCUGUGCCGUCAGUUCAACCUAUGUAAAAAUGUACAAACACUAAAAAUCCAAUUACAAUCGAUGUGAUUGAAAUGCGAUUAACAUACAUAUAUUAGUCUAUCCAAUGUGAAAUAAUAAGUAAAUCAAUAAACAAAUCCUGGACCUUUUAACCAGUCGAUCAAAGCAAGUGUUUUGUUUCCUUUUGAUACGUUUUUUCAUUCUUACGUGGAUCUUUGCAAAUGAUUCAAAUGCUUGACAUUAGAAAGUAACAUUAGCAUUGUAAACUAAUCAACUAUCACCCAAGUUUAGUGGAAGAUUUGUUUUCGAGUUGCUUGCUUCAUGAUUCUGUGAUUUACAUUAGUUAUGAUAGCUAAUUGGAUCAGUGGAAUUAUCUGAUUGCGAUAAAAAAUCAUGUGACAGGUGAAUAAAUAAUAAAAUGAGUGCUGAGAUUAGACAGAUAAACAGAGAAAGGACAGAAACAUAUAAUCUUGAAAUCGCAAACAAUUGUAAGAGUGAAAUUCAAUCCUCUGCAAUUCAUUAAUCAUUAAUGUUUUCUGGUGGUUUUUAUUAGCAUUCGAGUUUAUUAUUGUAGAUUGAUGUUCAAAGAUGGAUUUCGAUCAAAUACUUUCAGCCAUUCAAGCAUCUUUAGAUUCACCAACACUGGGUACAGAUUGUACUUCACUAUACAACACUUUAGCUGUUCAACCAUUACAUCAAUCUCCAUGUUCAAAUCAAAGUCUGGCUCUUUUGAAAGCCUUUAGUUCCGAUGAAGAUACUGUUAAAAGUUAUUUACUGGAUGGCGAUCAAUUGAACAAUCAAAAUGAUGGACAAUUUGUUGACUCGUCAAUGAAAACAUAUGAUUAUUACACCGAAAAUUUGCUCAACUUUAAUGACCAACCUCAUGGCCAAUGGGCUGUUGAAAGCUUAACUUCAGCUCAAGCGGCUAUCUCAUCAUGCACGCAAACUGAUCCCCUGACCGCGAAAUCCCACCUCUGGGCUAAAAUAAACGAUGAAAAGUUCAAUCUAAAAACAAAUUUUAUUCGUCUCAUUGAGCGUGGAUAUAAAUUGAUCUUGUCACUAAACACGGACAAUAGUGAAGUUUCUGAGCCAUGGAAUCCUAAUGUUAGUCAAAAAAUUCUUGCUGUUUCCUUUUCUUCAUUGAGUUUGAGGAGUGAAUAUUUGUCCUAUGAUGUGCAACUGAAUGGAUUUGAAUCACUAUUAAUGAAUGAAGCGCGUGCCGCUUUUAAGGGUCAUAAAUACUUGCAUUUGUUUGCAGAUUUAGGUGAAAUAGGACGAGAAAAAGCAAGUCCAGAUAAACUCAUUUCAAUAUGUACUGGAAUCAAAGGUUUUAGAAAAAUCGAAAUCAGUGAUAAAAUAACUCUUUUAUCCAACAUAUACAAUCAUCUUAAUUUAAUGGAAGGUAUCUUUAUUUACGAUGCUACAAUUGAUGGAUGGGAUUUUUCGGAAUUUAAACUUGAUCGACGAGAUACGUUCAUCUUCAACAAAUUCUUGCACGAUGGACUUGUUCACGUAAUCGAAACCUUUCCCGAUCGACUCAGAAAUGAUAUAAAUGUCAUUAUUCUCAUAUAUCUAAUCAUUAUUUUCAAUGGUGACACACCUGGAUUGAAACAUCCCGCAGUAAUCAGAUAUGAACAAUUCUCGUAUAUUCAUUUACUUCGAUGUUAUUUGAGGACAGUUUGUGAAUCUGAUUGUGAAGCUGCAGACAAUCAUUACAGGUUGAUGGCUAAAAUAGAACAGUUGCGACUUUUAAGUGAACGAACCCAAAAAGUUUUUGCCACUUUACUAAAAGAGCCCUUGGUGGAAACCAUAACAAGAGCGGUUAGAGACAAUACGCUCAUCAAUUUCAUCUGCAGAUAACUUUUGAUGAAAACUGAUUUAACAUAAAUUAAACUAAUAAUUAAUAGCCAAAUUCACCUACAGAUAGACCAGGGACAAAAGCAUUCAUAUCGCACGCAAAAUUUCAGAGCGAAGUAUCUUCGUUCGUAAUACCAAAUAUAUUUUUGAUCCUUUGUGAAUCCAACGAUGAUAAUUGUUUGUUCAGCACAAAAUUCAUAGUCAAUCUUUCAAUCAGUUGAUUUGGUAAAUUAACUAUCGUCUGGUAGAGCAUUAUCAUAAUGAGCAAACCAGCUGAAACAAAAAAAUCCGAGAAUCCCUUUGUAAUGUCCAUCUAAGCACGACUUCAUUCAAGUACGAAUGGUUUUGUAAAACUUCGUAAUCUUCGUAGCCUGUGAACCUCUUAUACAAGUUUUCUUGGAUAUCUGGAUUGGUAGCGAGUCUUUAACAGGCUCAACUCAACACGGUUGAUGUCGUCUCAUGACCGGCUAAUAGGAAAAGGAUGCACGAACAGACGAUCUCAUCUGGAGUCAACUUCUUGUUUUCAUCCUUUAACAUUUCACCAUCUUGGGCAUCCGCUUCAGAGUCAAUCAUCAAUUGGAGGAAAUCAUUGGUUUUGUUUUUACCUUUUUUCCAUUAGUCAACGACAGCGAGGUUUAACUGCGUGUGAUGAAAUGGUUGCGUUGGUUGGGUCUUUGCAAAUGAUUCGAAUGCUCUAAAUUAAACAAUUUGACAAAAAAUGAAAUAUGGGAAAUUUAUCAGCACACAAAAUAUUCGAAAAAUAAUGAAAUGCUACACUAGUAUAGCAAAUAUGAAUCCAUGUUUUAACAAGCUAUGAACUAAAGCUAAAUAAAUACGAUUGUAAACUAAUUAACACUUAUCAACAAAGUUUAAUGAAAGAUUUGCUUGCUAGACUUGCUUGCUCAACCAUUCUGUGAUUCAUAUAUUUCAUAUAUUCACAUAUUUCAGCUAUGGCAGCUAAUUGAAUCAGUGGAAUUAUCUGAUUUCGAUAAAAAAUCAUGUGACAGGUAAAUAAACUAAAAUAUGGGUGAUACGAGUAGACAAUAAAAUAUAGAGAAAGGGAGAAUUAUAUAAAAAUUGCCUGACACUGUGAAUAAAAAGAUUCAUCUAUGAUUCAUUAGUCAUUAAUGUUUUCAUCAUUUUAAGUGUUUAAGUUUAUUAUUGCUUUGUAGUGAUGGAGAUUGAUCAAAUAAUUUCAGCCAUUCAAUCAUCUUUAGAUUCACCAACACUGGAUACAGAUUAUACUUCGCUAUGUAACAUUUUAGCUGUUCAACCAUUACAUCAACCUUUAUGUUCAAAUCAAAGUCUAGCUCUUUUAAACGCUUUUUGUUCCGAUGAAGAUACUGUUAAAAGUUAUUUAAUUGAUGGCGAUCAAAACAAUGGACAAUUUCUUGAUUCUUCGAUGAAAACAUAUGAUAAUUACACAGAAAAUUUGCUCAACUUUAAUGACCAAUCUCAUGGCCGUUGGACUAUUGAAAACUUAACUUCAGCUCAAGCUUCCAUCUCAUCAUGUAUGAAUAAUGAUUCCCUGGCCGUGAAGUCUCCUCUUUGGCCCAAAAUAAACGAUGAAAAGUUUAAUCUAAAGUCCAAUUUUAUUCUUCUCAUUGAGCGUGGAUAUAAAUUGAUCUUGUCACUAAACACGGAUAAUAGUGAAGUGGAGGAGCCUUGGAAUCCUGAUGUCAGUCAAAAAAUUCUUGCUGUUUCCUUUUCUUCAUUGAGUUUGAGGAGUGAAUAUCUGUCUGAUGAUACUGUACUAAAUGGAUUUGAAUCACUAUUAAUGGAUGAAGCAUAUGCUGCUUUCAAGGGUCAGAGAUGCUUGCAUUUGUUCACAGAUUUGAGUAACAGGAGUCUCGCAAAAGCAAUUCCAGAUUGGCUCAUUUCAAUAUGUAAUGAAAUUAAAAGCUUCAGAAAAAUUGAAACCAACGAUAAAAUAACUCUUUUAUCCAGCAAUUAUAAUCAUCUUAACUUAAUGGAAGGCAUUUUUAGCUAUGAUGCCACAAUUGAUGGCUGGGGCUUUUCAGGAUUCAAGUAUGAUCGACGAGAUACAUUUCUCUUUAAUAAGUUCUUACACGAUGAAAUGGUUAAAGUAAUCGAAACCUUUCCCGAUCGAUUCAGAAACGAUAUUAAUGUCAUUAUUCUCAUGUACUUAAUCAUUAUUUUCAAUGCUGACAUAAUCGGAUUGAAACAUCCCGAAAUAAUCAGACAUGAACAAUUCUCGUAUAUUCAUUUACUUCGACGUUAUUUGCGGACAGUUUGUGAAUCUGAUUGUGAAGCGUCAGACAAUCAUUACAGGUUGAUGGCUAAAAUUGAACAGUUGCGACUUUUAAGUGAACAAACCCAAAACAUUUUCGCCACUUUACUAAAAGAACCUUUUGUGGAAAGCGUAACAAGAGCAGUUAUCGGGGAAUACAUUCAUCAAUUUUACCUGCAGGAUGAGAGCAUCAUUUUAGGAUGCACGAUUUGAAAGCGAAGUCUAUCGAUUUGUAUCGUAUCUUUCAUCGUCAUAUCAGAUACAUUUUUAAUCCUUUGUUACGUGAUUAUUGUUUGAUCAGCACAAAAGUCACAGUCUCAUGACCGGCUAAGAGGAAAAGAAUGAACGAACAGACAAUCUCAGGUGGAGUUAAUUUUUGUCUUCAUCAUUUAACCUUCAGCAUCUUGGGUGUCAGCUUCAGAGUCAAGCAUCAGUUGAAGAAAAUCAUUGUUUUUGUUUUUUCUUUGUUACCGUUGGUCAAUGAUAGCUAUUUUUAACUGCGUGUGAUGAGAUGAUUACACUAAUUGGCAAUGAAUAAGGUGAAUAAAGGCUUUCAUCAUAAAAAAAUGAGAAUUUUCAUAUUCUUGGAAAUGUUAAACUGCGACUAAACUGUACAUAAUAAAAUGAGUUGACUACUUUUUGAUGAAA